AGAGCCCAGCACCGAAUCCUUCACCAUCUCGGUGACAGGAAAUGUGGUGUUUAGGCCGUACCUUGUCCCGACACGUCUCUCCUCAAGUCCACUUGAUUGUGGCCCCAGGCCCAGAGAGGGUGUAAGGCCCGUGGAGGCGAGACGUUCGGUACCUGGUGCGUCCUUAGAGUCGGGUUGUUUGGGAAUGCAGCCCUAAGCGGGUGGUAAACUCCAUCCAAGGCUAAAUACCAGCACGAGUCCGAUAGCGAAGAAGUACCGCGAGGGAAGGUUGAAAAGAACUUUGAAGAGAGAGUUCAAGAGUACGUGAAACCGCUGAGAGGCAAACUGGUGGAACUGAAAUGGUCCCGAGGAAUUCAGCCGUUGGUCGUUGCACAGUCUUUGGUGAUUGAUCUAACGACGGCGCCAUUGAAUGACGUUUCGAUCAUCGGUGCACUUUCCUCGCCUGGGCCCGACCACGACCGGUGAGCUGAUCUGUCUGUCGUGCUUGGAAGAUAGCGCCGUCUUCGGAAGGCGUGUUAUAGACAGGCAUACGGAGCAGUCGGCGCACUGGAUGAUAGUGCCUGCCCAUCUGGGCUCAUAUGGUGGUUGUUUUGUUGGCGAGUUCUGAUGUCACUACUUCGGUAGAGUCGUUAGACUCUGUUGGCAUUAUGGCUGUCCUCUAUGAUUGGCACUGUUAAGUCUGUGGUUGUGAAGUAGGUAGUCCACCUGACCCGUCUUGAAACACGGACCAAGGAGUCUAACAUGUGCGCGAGUCAUUGGGUUCACGAAACCUAAAGGCGCAGUGAAGGUAAAGAUCUGUUUUGGCAGAUUGAGGUGGGAUGCCGGGUUACGCGCCCGGCCGCACUACCGGCCCGUUCUAUAUGUCUUUCAUAGGAGCGGAGCAAGAGCGUACACGUUGGGACCCGAAAGAUGGUGAACUAUGCUUGCGCA
rnacentral:rRNA from 1 species